CUACAGUCUGCGUAUGCAGCGCUGAUCUGGUAUGCAGUAUGUGUAAAUACGAAUCGCGGUAGUCAAGACGCGAGAAAGAAAAAAGAAUUUGCUUGUCCAAGUUAAUAUCACCAAAAUAUUGUGAUUUUACAACAGUAUUAAAGCUAGAAGAUAUUACAGCUUUCAAGGGAUGUAAAAAGGAUCAAAUUUUUCAGGAUCUUCCGCCUUCCGGUUGGAAAUUUUGAGAACGAU